GACGAACGCUGGCGGCGUGCUUAACACAUGCAAGUCGAACGGAAAGGCCCUGCUUUUGUGGGGUGCUCGAGUGGCGAACGGGUGAGUAACACGUGAGUAACCUGCCCUUGACUUUGGGAUAACUUCAGGAAACUGGGGCUAAUACCGGAUAGGAGCUCCUGCUGCAUGGUGGGGGUUGGAAAGUUUCGGCGGUUGGGGAUGGACUCGCGGCUUAUCAGCUUGUUGGUGGGGUAGUGGCUUACCCAGGCUUUGACGGGUAGCCGGCCUGAGAGGGUGACCGGCGACAUGGGGACUGAGAUACGGCCCAGACUCCUACGGGGGGCAGCAGUGGGGAAUAUUGCACAAUGGGCGGAAGCCUGAUGCAGCAACGCCGCGUGCGGGAUGACGGCCUUCGUGUUAUAAACCGCUUUCGCCUGUGACGAAGCGUGAGUGACGGUAAUGGGUAAAGAAGCACCGGCUAACUACGUG
rnacentral:rRNA from 1 species